rnacentral:rRNA from 1 species
GACGAACGCUGGCGGCGUGCCUAAUACAUGCAAGUAGAACGCUGAAGAGAGGAGCUUGCUCUUCUUGGAUGAGUUGCGAACGGGUGAGUAACGCGUAGGUAACCUGCCUGGUAGCGGGGGAUAACUAUUGGAAACGAUAGCUAAUACCGCAUAAAAUUGAUUAUUGCAUGAUAAUUAAUUGAAAGAUGCAAUUGCAUCACUACCAGAUGGACCUGCGUUGUAUUAGCUAGUUGGUGAGGUAACGGCUCACCAAGGCGACGAUACAUAGCCGACCUGAGAGGGUGAUCGGCCACACUGGGACUGAGACACGGCCCAGACUCCUACGGGAGGCAGCAGUAGGGAAUCUUCGGCAAUGGGGGGAACCCUGACCGAGCAACGCCGCGUGAGUGAAGAAGGUUUUCGGAUCGUAAAGCUCUGUUGUAAGAGAAGAACGGGUGUGAGAGUGGAAAGUUCGCACUGUGACGGUAUCUUACCAGAAAGGGACGGCUAACUACGUGCCAGCAGCCGCGGUAAUACGUAGGUCCCGAGCGUUGUCCGGAUUUAUUGGGCGUAAAGCGAGCGCAGGCGGUUAGAUAAGUCUGAAGUUAAAGGCUGUGGCUUAACCAUAGUAUGCUUUGGAAACUGUUUAACUUGAGUGCAGAAGGGGAGAGUGGAAUUCCAUGUGUAGCGGUGAAAUGCGUAGAUAUAUGGAGGAACACCGGUGGCGAAAGCGGCUCUCUGGUCUGUAACUGACGCUGAGGCUCGAAAGCGUGGGGAGCAAACAGGAUUAGAUACCCUGGUAGUCCACGCCGUAAACGAUGAGUGCUAGGUGUUAGGCCCUUUCCGGGGCUUAGUGCCGCAGCUAACGCAUUAAGCACUCCGCCUGGGGAGUACGACCGCAAGGUUGAAACUCAAAGGAAUUGACGGGGGCCCGCACAAGCGGUGGAGCAUGUGGUUUAAUUCGAAGCAACGCGAAGAACCUUACCAGGUCUUGACAUCCCUCUGACCGCUCUAGAGAUAGAGUUUUCCUUCGGGACAGAGGUGACAGGUGGUGCAUGGUUGUCGUCAGCUCGUGUCGUGAGAUGUUGGGUUAAGUCCCGCAACGAGCGCGACCCCUAUUGUUAGUUGCCAUCAUUCAGUUGGGCACUCUAGCGAGACUGCCGGUAAUAAACCGGAGGAAGGUGGGGAUGACGUCAAAUCAUCAUGCCCCUUAUGACCUGGGCUACACACGUGCUACAAUGGCUGGUACAACGAGUCGCAAGCCGGUGACGGCAAGCUAAUCUCUGAAAGCCAGUCUCAGUUCGGAUUGUAGGCUGCAACUCGCCUACAUGAAGUCGGAAUCGCUAGUAAUCGCGGAUCAGCACGCCGCGGUGAAUACGUUCCCGGGCCU